CCAAACAUGCAGGCGAGGGGCACCAAUGUCACUGUCGUACGGGUGCGUAACACGUAUGCAACCUACCUAUCACAGGGGGAUAGCCUCUGGAAACAGGGAUUAAUACCGCAUAAAGCAAGGACACCGCACGGAUGAUAUUGCUAAAGAUUUAUCGGUGAUAGAUGGGCAUGCGUCUGAUUAGUUAGUUGCGUGAGGUAACGGCUCACCAAGACGAUGAUCAGUACGGGGCGUCACAACUGUGGUCCCCCACACUGGCACUGAGAUACCGGCCAGACUCCUACGGCGAGGCAGCAGAUACGGAAUAUUGGGCAAUGGAUGCAAGUCUGACCCAGCCAUGCCGCGUGCAGGAAGAAGGUCCUCUGGAUUGUAAACUGCUUUUUUGGGGGAAGAAUAGUUUUCUUGCGAGGAAAUGUGACGGUACCCUAAGAAUAAGCCACGGCUAACUACGUGCCAGCAGCCGCGGUAAUACGUAGGUGGCAAGCGUUGUCCGGAUUUAUUGGGUUUAAAGGGUGCGUAGGUGGUUUGAUAAGUCAGUGGUGAAAGCCGGUUGCUCAACAAUCGAGUUGCCAUUGAUACUGUCGGACUUGAUAGAAGUGGAGGUUCAUGGAAUGGAUGGUGUAGCGGUGAAAUGCAUAGAUAUCAUCCAGAACGUCUAUUGCGAAAGCAGUGGGCUGUACUUUAUCUGACACUGACGCACGAAAGUGUGGGGAUCAAACAGGAUUAGAUACCCUGGUAGUCCACACUGUAAACGAUGCGAACUAGCUUUUUGGUUUUUGGAUUGGGAGGCUAAGGGAAACCGAUAAGUUCGCCACCUGGGGAGUACGCCGGCAACGGUGAAACUCAAAGGAAUUGACGGGGGUCCGCACUAGCGGUGGAGCAUGUGGUUUAAUUCGAUGAUACGCGAGGAACCUUACCUGGGCUAAAUCACAUAUGAAUUUACCAGAGAUGUUAGAGCCAGCAAUGGCAUAUAUGAAGGUGCUGCAUGGCUGUCAUCAGCUCGUGCCGUGAGGUGUUGGGUUAAGUCCCCCAGCGAGCGCAACCCUUGGUGGAUAGUUGCUAACAGGUAAAGCUGAGGACUCUAUUUCAACUGCCUGCGCAAGCAAACACGAAAGGAGGGGACGACGUCAAGUCCUCAUGGACCCUUACGUCCAGGGCUACCCACGUGGUACAUGGCG
rnacentral:rRNA from 1 species